rnacentral:rRNA from 1 species
UUUAGAGGAACCUGCCCUGUGAACGAUGAUCCACGAGAGCCUUACUUUAUUUUGAAAUCAGUUUGUAUACCGCUGUUGUCAGUUAGAUUUUUGAGAAUAUUUUCUUUUUGGUAAAGCCAAUGACUUCAAGUAAAGGUGCAGCUUAUAGUAAAGUUAGAGGUGGGUUACAUUUAUAAGAAUAAGACGGAUUAAGGAUUUAAUUGACUUAUGAAGGUGGAUUUAACCGUAAAAUUGAAUUAGAUUUGGUGAUAGC